rnacentral:tRNA from 1 species
GAGGGUAUAGCUCAGCGGUAGAGUGCAUGCCUAGCAUGCAUAAUGUCCUGGGUUCAAUCCCCAGUACCUCCG